GACGAACGCUGGCGGCGUGCUUAAUACAUGCAAGUCGAACGGAAAGGCCCUGCUUUUGUGGGGUGCUCGAGUGGCGAACGGGUGAGUAACACGUGAGUAACCUGCCCUUGACUUUGGGAUAACUUCAGGAAACUGGGGCUAAUACCGGAUAGGAGCUCCUGCUGCAUGGUGGGGGUUGGAAAGUUUCGGCGGUUGGGUAUGGACUCGCGGCUUGUCAGCUUGUUGGGGGGGUAGUGGCUUACCAAGGCUUUGACGGGUAGCCGGCCUGAGAGGGUGGCCGGCCACAUUGGGACUGAGAUGCGGCCCAGACUCCUACGGGAGGCAGCAGUGGGGUAUGUUGCACAAUGGGCGGGAGCCUGAUGCAACAACGCCGCGUGCGGGAUGGCGGCCUUCGGGUUGGAAGCCGCUUUCGCCUGUGACGGAGCGUGAGUGACGGUAAUGGGUAAAGAAGCACCGGCUAACUACGUG
rnacentral:rRNA from 1 species